CAGCAUUUGGCACUGAGGUGGUUUCUCACACCUCAGUCAACUGCAGGCUGGAGCUGCUGUGAGGAUUUUGCUGUUGUUGGAGAAAAUCUUCCCCAAUCCUGCCUGGGAUGUGGGACAGAAGAACUGAGGAUGGGGAAUUGUGGCUCACUGUAAAACUUCUCAGCUAGGAUCCUUUGAAAGUCCUGUUGCACAUUCAGUCCUGGAGAUUCUCCAUCAGCUCCUGUAUCUGUAUUUCAGCACAAAUGCAUCUGGGAUGGAUCCAGGAUCCUGGUCUGUCAGGAGCUCAGCAGCAUCCAUGAGCUUCAGGCUGACAAACAGAGGUACAGAUGGGGUCAGAUGCCCCAAAAUACCCCUCAGAGGGAGAAUCUGACCCCAGGAGACACCCAGGACAUGGAGAAGAGACACUACACCUUCAGAAAAUGUUUUAUCAGUGAGGUUUUGAGGACGGGCACAAACCGUAACCACCAGAGACAGGAGCCCUUCCCUCAAGAGCAGCUCCAUGCCCACUGUGGGAGUUGAGGAUCCCUUGCUGCACCUCUUUUAGGAUCAGCUGGCAGCACUGAAGGAGCCAUCCCGACUUACCCCUCGCUCCUGCCCGUCGCCCUCGGGGCCGUUCCGGCUCUGCAGCACGGACAACGGGAUUAGUUUAGCAUCGAUCUGCCGAGAGCAGCAUCCUGGGCACGGGCUGCGCACGCUGCCCGCGGCCGAGCGCCCACCGCCCCUCCCUGCCCACACCUCUCCCCAGCAGCAGAGUCCUCUGCAGAGCGUCCUGCCCCAUUCUGCCCCCAGAGCUGUCCAUAGGAGGGGACAAAAGCGGGUCUGACCCAAAUAAACCAUGAUCCAAGCAGGCA
rnacentral:lncRNA from 1 species